rnacentral:rRNA from 1 species
CGCAAUAAGCGAAAGCUUGACGGANCUAUCCCGAGUUGCCAUCCGCUGAGGAUGGCUUUUCUCUAGUGUAGAUAGCUGGGGGAAUAAGGAGAGGGCAAGUCUGGUGUCAGCCGCCGCGGUAAUACCANCUCUCCGAAUGNUAUGGAUGAUUAUUGGGCCUAAAGCAUCCGUAGCCGGCUGAGCAAGUCCCCUGUUAAACCCAGCGAUUCAAUCGCUGGCCUGCGGGGGAUACUGCUCGGCUAGGGGGCGAGAGAGGCCGUCGGUAUUCCCGGGGUAGGGGUGAAAUCCUAUAAUCCCGGGAGGACCACCAGUGGCGAAGGCUGUCGGCUAGAACGCGCUCGACGGUGAGGGAUGAAAGCUGGGGGAGCGAACCGGAUUAGAUACCCGGGUAGUCCCAGCUGUAAACGAUGCAGGCUAGGUGUUAGGGCGGCCACGUGCCGCUCUAGUGCCGCAGGGAAGCUGUUAAGCCUGCCGCCUGGGGAGUACGGCCGCAAGGCUGAAACUUAAAGGAAUUGG